rnacentral:lncRNA from 10 species
GCCUAGGAGCAAUAGGCUGUACCAUAUAGCCUAGGUAUGUAGCAGGCUAUACCAUCUAGGUGUGUGUAGCAAUAGGCUGUACCAUAUAGCCUAGGUAUGUAGCAGGCUAUACCAUCUAGGUGUGUGUAGCAAUAGGCUGUACCAUAUAGCCUAGGUAUGUAGCAGGCUAUACCAUCUUGGUUUGUGUAAGUACACACUAUGAUGUUUGCACAAUGAUGAAAUAAUCUAGCGACUCAUUUUUUUGGAAGGUAUCCCUACUGUUAAGCAAAGCAUGACUAUAGUUAGAACUUCUAUUGUUCCCUCUUUGCUCUGGGGCCUUACGCCUGCUAAUCUCUCUGCCUGAAAGCUUUUGCCCUAAGCCUCCAUGUUAGCUCUCUUGUUUUAGCUGCCUCAUACCCAUAUUUUAUGUAUCAAACAACUUCCCCUUUCUCUGAGAAUCUUUUCUGGAUAUCUCAUCUUGGACUAGGUGCCCAUACCAUGUGUUGCCAUGCCAUCCUGUGCUGCCUUUAUUAUACAUAGAUAUUGUCACACUUUAUUGUAAUCAGUUCCAUGCCUUCCCAUAGACUGUAAAAAGUUUGGAUCACCUUCAUUUUAUUCAUCAUUUCAUUCCAGUAUCUCUCC